AAUAGUGCUUCUCAUAUUUCCAGAUUUUUAUACACCAGGAAAAAGCAUUGGAGUUUCUAACUUUUUACUUUGCCGAGAAGUUUACUGACAAAAAAGAAAAAAAAAGAAAAGAAAAGAAAAACAGAGUGGCUGAACAAUGUCCCCUGCUUAAGUCCCCCAGAAGCAUAUUUUCUUUAGAGCAACAGAGGCUUUUGCAAUAUGGAAAAAGUGACAUUUGAUCUGAAGGAGUGUGGAGGGGAGCUCUGAGUGUGGGGGACUGACCUUUACUAACCACCUACCCAGAGCGGAGGCUGGAGAAGCGCGAGCUGAGCCUGCAGCAGUGAUGUCUGGUGCCCUCCACAGGCCAAAUUUUAUUGCCUUGACCUUUCUUCAAAUGAGAUGAUCUUCUGGGCCUCCUUACCCUGGACCCCUACUCCAGGCAGCACUGGAUUUGAAACCUGUUACCCGGGAAGAAGCUCCAUGGAGUCAGAGCUGCAGAAAUCUGGCCACAGAAUCCUACCCUAAGAGCACCGAGCCCAAAGUCUUGAGCCAAGAAGUAAAGCCAUCACCAGCAGAUUUGAGACACCUAAAAUGGGGGAAUCCUGGUGUAGACAAUAGGACUUCUCAGCCCAUUACUCCUGCACCAAAAGCAUGCCAUGAUGAGGAUCACCCACCUGGCCUUCACGUACAUGAAGAACCACACAAUUCCACUACAAAAUGGCCUCUGUUUAAAUCAUAAAUGUUGAAGUCUGCAAAUAAAUGCAAAUCUAUUUCUGGUGUGCUUGUUCUAACACUGAUAGAAAGACGUGUUCCCACAGAUGGAGCUUGGGAACAAG